rnacentral:tRNA from 1 species
GUUUCUGUAGUUGAAUAACAACGAUGGUUUUUCAUAUCAUUAGUUUUGGUUAAAGUCCAGGUGGAAAUA